UCGCCGUUCGCCGGCUGGUGGGCGUAUGAGGUCUUCGGUACCUGGCAUGCGGCGUUCUACUCGUCCGCGGCGGU
rnacentral:tRNA from 1 species